UCAGAGCUUCGGACAUCAAUGUCGCUUCUCUCUUUAUAUAGGACUCUAGAUUCCACUAAUGGCUGCCGUUAGCAGUCCAGAUAGUCAAAGGGUUGAAGUUGAAGCAGCAAAUCGCGCACGGGGGACGCCUAGCGAUGCUGACAGCCUAUCGCGAUAAUUCGUAAAUUCCCUACAUAAUUUCCGGGUUUGCAAAUCCCCUAUUGUUCCUCUUGGAUUCCCUACCAUUUCUUCUACGAGAGAGGAGCAAGUAAAAAUUGGAGCAAGUGCAAAUUGGAGUUUGCUAGAUUAGACUUCAAAUCGUUAUACAGUCUAUCCUCGUGGAGAGCGAUUGGCGACGUCUCCUGGAAAAAUCCCAGACGUCAGUGUACGUCAAAUACGGAUGAUUAAAAGUGGACCCGUUGGAUAUAUACACACGGGGACCGAAUGACGACAGCCCAUUUUGACCAAAGUAAUUUAUUUGUUUCAUUAAAAACUUAGACGUUGGAAUGCGACUUCUACACGUGUGACGGGUAUAAUAUGUAAAACUAAACGCUACGAUAUUUAUAUUUUAUAACUAUAUGCUUAUUUCUUUUAUGAUUCCUCACGGGUCAACGCAAAUAUAUAUCGUGUAUAUGAGAUAAUAGAAUAAUAGCAGUUUUUAUAUAUACGUAUACAUAUAUGUACACGUAUAUAUAAUGCUCGAUAGCGAUAAUUAAACCUCCAAUGCGCUAA
rnacentral:lncRNA from 13 species